GUUUGGAGGACGGCUCAGCAAAGCAGUCGCCGGACCCAGAUCUCAGGUGGACGGUCCUCCUCAGUGUGAUCGUUGCUUCACUGCUGUUGCUUGUGUGUGUCAUACUCAUCGUAAGGACGUUUCGAAAGAAGCCCUCGGGAAUGGAAGAUACACCUCAUAAGCACCAUGACAUACCGACCGUCAUCGUCACAGAAAGCGACGCCGAUGAGCCCAGCCGGCAGGAAGUGAACUCCGUCUACAGUGUCGUCAACAAGGCUGCCAGAUGCCUCGUGUCGAGCCAUGACGCUCCGAUAAAGUUGAAAAAUCAGACAUCCAGGCCAGUGGAUACAGAGGGAGAGCAUAGAGCACAGCGCCAACAGAGAAACAGAAGGAAACAGCGCCCCCAAGAGGACAAAAACAUGACCAUAUACACCACAGCCACAAACCCACUGGAGAAACAGCACCCCCUAGAGGACACAGACAGGACCAUAUACACCACAGCCACAAAACCACUGGAGAAACAGCACCCCCUGGAGGAUACAGACAGGACCAUAUAUGACACAACCAGAACACAACAGAAUGCACAGCUUCCGCCACUCGUCACCAACACGAGCCAGACAGAAACCAACCAGGCUGACACUGUGUAUUACACGCUGGGACACAUGAACAGUGGUCAGCACUGACCAAUGGAACCAGGCUGAGGACACAACAGUGUGCUAAGAAAAGGAUUACUAUGACAGAAUUACUAGGAACUAAUAACAAAGUGCAGAAAGCCUUUACCCUCACUGAUGAUGUAUACAAAAGGUAGUUGUAUCUAUACCAAGCGGAUUGCAUAGUUACAACAUAGUAUAUGACAUAUGUAUAUAAAUAUCUGAUAUAGAUGAUAUACAUCAUAGUAUAUGACAUAUGUAUAUAUAUAUAUAACCCUAAUCCAACAUAGUAUAUGACAUAUGUAUAUAUAUAUAUAUAUAUAACCCUAAUCCAACAUAGUAUAUGACAUAUAUAUAUAUAUAUAUUUAUAUCACACUCUGCUCCUCUAUGUAGUAGUGUGUUUGUUAUUUAUUGAGUUCUACUACUGUGUUCAUUCCUGUGUCAGUCGAGAUUACAAUCCCUUUAAAGAGAACGUGUCUGUUGAGAUUACGAUGGAAGGAAAUGGCGAUAUCAAAUGACGAAGGGUCUUCACCAGGGGCCUUUUCACAAGGAAUACACCCUAAUGCUUCUUCUGUUGUUCAAGACUAUUACAUUCACUGACACAUACAUUUCAAAUGUAAACACGGACUACUGUAAUUCACUCUUCACUGGGAUCACUGGCAAGAACAUCCAGAAGCUGCAAUACAUUCAAAACAGCGCCGCCAGGACCGGAAAUACGAUCACAUCACACCCAUUCUACACUCACUACACUGGCUCCCUGUCUCAUUCCGGAUUGACUACAAAGUCCUACUACUCACCCAUACAUGCAUAAAUGGACAUGCACCUCCCUACCUACAAGAACUCAUUACUCCCCAAACAUCCAACCGCACCCUCAGAUCAACAAACAGCUCGCUCCUCCGGGUCCCCAACACCAAGCUCCGCACCAUGGGCGACCGGACCUUUUUGCUCGGCUGUGCCGCGCCUAUGGACCAGCCUCCCUGACCACCUAAGGGCAACACAGACACUGGACUCUUUUAAGACUGGCCUAAAAAGACUUUUUAUUCAGGAAGGCGUUUUUUGACUUUGUGUUAAAUCACUGUCAGCUAUUUAUUUUGUGUUUCUGUUCAUUCAUGUUUACUAGUUUUUUUGUAUUAUAGUUUGUUUUAAUGUUCUGGCUCUGUGCGCUAUAAAUAAAAUGCAUUAUUAUUAUUAUUAUAAUUGUUAU
rnacentral:lncRNA from 1 species